GAGCACGUAGGUGGGUUUGUAAGUCAGGUGUGAAAGCCUUCUGUUCAACGGAAGAAUUGCAUCUGAAACUGCGAGUCUUGAGUGUAGGAGGGGAGAAUGGAACUUCUGGUGGAGCGGUGAAAUGCGUAGAUAUCAGAAGGAACGCCGGCGGCGAAAGCGAUUCUCUGGCCUAUUACUGACACUCAGUGUGCGAAAGCUAGGGGAGCAAACGGGAUUAGACACCCCGGUAGUCCUAGCCGUAAACGAUGGGCACUAAGUAGAGGGGUUUU
rnacentral:rRNA from 1 species